rnacentral:rRNA from 1 species
GUGGGAAGAAGGCCUUCGGGUUGUAAACCUCUUUCGACCGGGACGAUAAUGACGGUACCCUUGGAAGAAGCCCCGGCUAACUACGUGCCAGCAGCCGCGGUAAUACGUAGGGGGCAAGCGUUAUUCGGAAUUACUGGGCGUAAAGCGUGCGUAGGCGGUUCGGUAAGUCCGGUGUGAAAGCCCUGGGCUCAACUCGAGGAGUGCCCCCGAGACUGUCGGUCUUGAGGCCAUUUGAGGAUGAUGGAAUUCCCUGUGUAGCAGUGAAAUGCAUAUAUAUGUGGAGGAACACCAGUGGCGAAGGCGACCAUCUGGACCUGUUCUGACGCUGAGGCACGAAAGCUAGGGGAGCAAACAGGAUUAGAUACCCUGGUAGUCCAAGCCCUAAACGAUGGAUACUAGGUGUAGGUGGUA